UUAACAGAUAGCUCAGUUGGUAGAGCACGAGACUCUAAAUCUUAGUGUCAUGGGUUCAAACCCCAUAUUGGGCAAAA